rnacentral:lncRNA from 1 species
UCCAGUCCCAACCAAUGAACUAAAGGGGUCGUUUGGUAUGAAGUUUUGGAAUUAGAAGAUGUAUGAGAACCGAAGAAAUGUGGAAGUGUUUCUUACUAUUUCAAAAUACAAAAUUUCCCACAAACACACUCGGAUACUCGGAUUUCCCCUUAACCAAACGAUUCCUAAAGAACUAAUCCUAGCUAGAUGAAUUAGUCUCGUGAGAUUCAAACAUUCACUAGAACUCAGAUUUCCACUUUACCAAACGACUCCUAAAAAGGUAAUCCUAGCUAGAUGAAUUAGCCUUGUGAGAUUCAAACAUUCACUGCUACCACUGCUCAAGAAUCAUCCGCCAAAACAAUAACAUACAACAAAGUCCAAACAUCUGUAACAAGAUUGCAGCAUUGAUGACUCUCAACACACAAAUUAGAACAAAACAUUCCAAUCAACAAACCCAAUACAGGAAAUGAAGAAAACCAAACCCAAACCCAAAGCUAAUCCAUUUCCACCUCUGGGAGAAAACCCACAUUACAAAUCAACAA